rnacentral:tRNA from 1 species
CGUGCUGUGGCUUAGUUAGUUUAAAAGCGACGGUCUAGCGAAUACGGAGUCGUGGGUUCAAAUCCCACCAGAACGC